rnacentral:rRNA from 1 species
GACGAACGCUGGCGGCGUGCUUAACACAUGCAAGUCGAACGGAAAGGCCCUUCGGGGUACUCGAGUGGCGAACGGGUGAGUAACACGUGGCUGAUCUGCCCUGCACUUUGGGAUAAGCCUGGGAAACUGGGUCUAAUACCGAAUAGGACCACGCGCUUCAUGGUGUGUGGUGGAAAGCUUUUGCGGUGUGGGAUGGGCCCGCGGCCUAUCAGCUUGUUGGUGGGGUAAUGGCCUACCAAGGCGACGACGGGUAGCCGGCCUGAGAGGGUGACCGGCCACACUGGGACUGAGAUACGGCCCAGACUCCUACGGGAGGCAGCAGUGGGGAAUAUUGCACAAUGGGCGCAAGCCUGAUGCAGCGACGCCGCGUGAGGGAUGACGGCCUUCGGGUUGUAAACCUCUUUCAAUAGGGACGAAGCGCAAGUGACGGUACCUAUAGAAGAAGCACCGGCCAACUACGUG